CGUGUAGGCGGCCAGGUAGGUCGGUUGUGAAAACUGGAGGCUCAACCUUCAGACGUCGACCGAAACCAUCUGGCUAGAGUCCGGGAGGGGAGAGUGGAAUUCCUGGUGUAGCGGUGAAAUGCGCAGAUAUCAGGAAGAACACCCGUGGCGAAAGCGGCUCUCUGGAACGGUACUGACGCUGAGACGCGAAAGCGUGGGGAGCGAACA
rnacentral:rRNA from 1 species